AUGUUUUGUCAGCAGCCUGAGGGGAGUGAGCAGCCAUGGCAGCACUGGCAGCAAGGAAGGGCCCAGUCAACCAUUGCUGCUAUUUGGGGCUACUGAGGCCAUUGUCAGAGAAAGCAAUCACUAUAUCAGGAAAGCAAUCCUAUAUCAGGAAUAACAACAAAGUGAUUUAGAAAAUCAGUCACUGAAUCAGGAAAAUAAUUUGGAAAUGAUGACGAUGAUGAUGAUGACGACGAUGAUGAUAAUGAUGGAGAAGAAUCUACACUAGAUAAGAGCUGGUUUUACCAACACUCUUUCCACAUUCAAGCCUAAACAUUGAAAUGGCUUGUUGAUACUUAAAACGAGUUUAAGCUAACACAAUGUUUCUGGUCAAAACAUUGACAUAUUUGGAAAGGACUAACUCAUGUUUUGAAGGCUUGCCAAAUUUUUUGCAAAAAGGAGGGGGAAAUGGCUGCAGCUGUUGUGUCUGGAAAAGUAAACUGAGAAAUGUAUAGGAUGUUCUGGUUGUUGAAAGGGAACCUACAAAUAGAGAUAACAAUAAAAAAAGAAAAAUAAAUGAAUAACUUAGCGUGUAGUAAUAACCAGCAUAAAUACCUUCCAAUCUCAGCAAUGUGAGGAUCACAACUUAUCUUCAAGGCUUCAAUCUACUACAAGAACAAGGGGAGGUGCCAAAAGAUAUCUCAGCUGCAUUCCUUGUUCUAUUCCUCCCCAAACAAAUGUAUGUGUUUUCACCCAAAAUAUUCUGUGAAGCUAUUCAGAGAGAGAGAGAGAGAGAGAGAGAGAGAGAAGCAAAACUGGGCUAAGGGAGCCCAGCUUCAGCAGCAAACCCACCUCCGUAGCCACUCUCUACGGAGAUCAUUUUUGUGAUCAUCCACCAGCCGUGGCUGCUUGCAGCCAGGGUUGACAGACUGUGGGGCUCCCAGCCAGCUUUGGGGAGGGGAGGGGGUCCAAUAAUGCACUGCACACUCUCACGGUGCGUUAUGGGAGCUCUGGGGGGCAGAACGAUGUGUCCCGGCACCCCAACCCUCCAAGCUACUGGCAGCACCAGGUAAUCGUCUGGGCGGGCAAUCCGCCCACCAAAGAAGCAGCCUUUGGUCAUCAUCUGUGGGAGAAUGUGAUUAUGCUGCAUCCAUCAUGGAAAGAAUGAAAAUAAGGACUGAUGAUGAGUAAGCCAGUAUGCUGCUGCUGUGCUUGCAGCAAUUUACAUCUACAAGAACUUUUGGAAAUAAUUCACACUCCCCUGGAGGAAUUUAAGAAAGACAUUUGGAGGAAGCAACAAAGAAUUUUACACACCAGGGAGAAGUGAUCUAUAUUCAGUAACUGUGGAGUCUUUCACGAUUGUAUUUUACAAUUGUAUAUGUACUUCUGAUGAAGCUUAUUGUGAAACGAGGACAUAUUGCAAAACCUUGUCAAAAUGAAGUAUUGAAGUGAUUAAUGAAGUGAUAUUUGGUAUAUUUA